AGAGUUUGAUUAUGGCUCAGGAUAACGCUGGCGACGUGGAUAAGGCAUGCAAGUCGAACGGUUGCAACAACAGUGGCGAACGGGUUAGUAACACGUAGAUAUCAACCCUUUACUCGGGCAUAACCCGGAGAAAUCUAGGCUAAUUCCCGAUACGGAAACGGUAAAGAUUUUUCGGUAAAGGAUGAGUCUGCGUCCUAUCAGCUAGUUGGUGAGGUAAUGGCUCACCAAGGCAAUGACGGGUAGGCGGAGUGAGAGCUUGACCGCCAACAAUGGCACUGAGACACGGGCCAUACUCCUACGGGAGGCAGCAGUCGAGAAUAUUUGACAAUGGGCGAAAGCCUGAUCAAGCGACGUCGCGUGUGGGAGAUUCGUUGACCACUUUUCUAGGGGACCCUAGGAAUAAGGGGUGACAAACUCGUGCCAGCAGUAGCGGUAAUACGAGUGCCCCAAGCGUUAUCCGGAUUUAUUGGGCGUAAAGGGUCUGUAGGUGGUUUGUUAAUUUCUCGUUAAACUCCAGGGCUUAACCUUGGAAAAGCGGAAAAACUGGCAAACUAGAGGAUGUUAGAGGCUGAUGGAACACUUGGUGAAGGGGUGGAAUCCGUUGAUAUCAAGUGGAACACCGAAAGCGAAAGCAAUCAGCUGGGACGUCCUGACACUGAAAGACGAAAGCGUGGGGAGAGAAAAGGAUUAGAUACCCUUGUAUUCCACGCCUUAAACGAUGAAUACUAGCUAUUGCAAGGUCGACUGCAGUGGCGAAGCUAACGCGUUAAGUAUUCCGCCUGGGAAGUACGGCCGCAAGGCUAAAACUCAAAGGAAUAGACGGGGACCUACACAAGCGGUGGAUCACGUGGCUUAAUUCGAUAAUAAGCGAGGAACCUUACCAGGGCAAAGGUAAUGAAAGCAUCGAAAGAUUUGCCACAACAUUACCAGGUGCUGCAUGGUUGUCGUCAGCAGGUGGCUUGAGUUGCUCCCUUAAAUGGGGUAACCUGCGCAACCCUUGCUCUAUGUUUCAUGUGUCAUAGAGGACUGCCUGGGACAACCAGGAGGAAGGUGAGGAUGACGCCAAAUCAGCAUGGCCCUAUGUCCUGGGCUGCACACGUGAUACAAUGGCCGGUACAAUGAGUCGCGAUCCUGCGAAGGCAAGCCAUCUCAAAACCGGUCUCAGUUCGGAUUGCAGUCUGCAACUCGACUGCAUGAAGUCGGAGUUGCUAGUAAUCGCGAAUCAGCAUGUCGCGGUGAAUGCGUUCCCGGGUCUUGCACUCACCCCCGUC
rnacentral:rRNA from 1 species